rnacentral:rRNA from 1 species
UACAGAGGGUGCGAGCGUUGUCCGGAAUCACUGGGCGUAAAGGGCGCGUAGGCGGUCUGGUAAGCGUGUGGUGAAAGCCCGGGGCUCAACCCCGGGUCGGCCGUGCGAACUGCUGGACUGGAGCAGAUCAGAGGCAGGCGGAAUUCCGGGUGUAGCGGUGAAAUGCGCAGAUAUCGGGAGGAACACCAAUUGCGAAGGCAGCUCGCUGGGACGUCACUGACGCUGAGACGCGAAAGCGUGGGGAGCAAACAGG